rnacentral:rRNA from 1 species
AGCUUGAUGCCUUUUAUAUUAAGUUAUUUCUGCUCAAUGGUGGACUCAAUAGCCGCAGUACUCUGACUGUGCAAAGGUAGCGUAAUAAGUUGGCUUAUAAUUGAAGUCGUGUAUGAAAGAAUCCGAUGGGCGUAAACUGUCUUAUUUUUUUUAUAUAAAACUUACUAAGUAAGUGAAAAUUCUUAUUUUUAAAAAAAAAGACGAGAAGACCCUAAAAAUUUUUAUUAAUGUUGCGGCUUGCUGCGGCUCUAUUUUUGUUGGGGCGACAAAUUAACAAUUUGAACUUGAUUAAAAUUAUAAACAUAUAUAAAGACUUGUUGUAAUUAAAAUUAAAUUACUUUAGGGAUAACAGCAUAAUUUAUUUUUAAGUUUGUGACCUCGAUGUUGGAUUAAGGAAUAGGGGAACGAGAAGUUUCCCUAUUUGGUUCUGUUCGAACUUUUUACCCUUACAUG